rnacentral:piRNA from 1 species
UAGAUGUUAGGGUACCAGCCGAGGUU